rnacentral:piRNA from 1 species
UGACAUAGUUUGUUAAAAAGCCUUUUA